rnacentral:rRNA from 1 species
CCCUUAGAUGUCCUGGGCCGCACGCGCGCUACACUGAGUGUCUGAGAUACGAGUCUGCCUGGUCCGGCAAGGUCUAGGUAAUCGCUAAAAGACACAUCAUGCUUGGGAUAGAUUAUUGCAAAUAUUAAUCUUCAACGAGGAAUGCCUAGUAGGCGCAAGUCAUCAGCUUGCGUCGAUUACGUCCCUGCCCUUUGUACACACCGCCCGUCGCUCCUACCGAUUGGGUGUGCUGGUGAAAUGUUCGGAUCGGCCGUUUGUCGCGGUUUCCGCGUCAUGUGGCUGAGAAGUUCAUUAAACCCUCCCACCUAGAGGAAGGAGAAGUCGUAACA